CUUGCUUCUCUUGAGAGCGGCGGACGGGUGAGUAAUGCCUAGGAAUCUGCCUGGUAGUGGGGGAUAACGUCCGGAAACGGACGCUAAUACCGCAUACGUCCUACGGGAGAAAGCAGGGGACCUUCGGGCCUUGCGCUAUCAGAUGAGCCUAGGUCGGAUUAGCUAGUUGGUGGGGUAAUGGCUCACCAAGGCGACGAUCCGUAACUGGUCUGAGAGGAUGAUCAGUCACACUGGAACUGAGACACGGUCCAGACUCCUACGGGAGGCAGCAGUGGGGAAUAUUGGACAAUGGGCGAAAGCCUGAUCCAGCCAUGCCGCGUGUGUGAAGAAGGUCUUCGGAUUGUAAAGCACUUUAAGUUGGGAGGAAGGGCAGUAAAUUAAUACUUUGCUGUUUUGACGUUACCGACAGAAUAAGCACCGGCUAACUCUGUGCCAGCAGCCGCGGUAAUACAGAGGGUGCAAGCGUUAAUCGGAAUUACUGGGCGUAAAGCGCGCGUAGGUGGUUCGUUAAGUUGGAUGUGAAAUCCCCGGGCUCAACCUGGGAACUGCAUUCAAAACUGACGAGCUAGAGUAUGGUAGAGGGUGGUGGAAUUUCCUGUGUAGCGGUGAAAUGCGUAGAUAUAGGAAGGAACACCAGUGGCGAAAGCGACCACCUGGACUGAUACUGACACUGAGGUGC
rnacentral:rRNA from 1 species